CUGAUGGGCGCGUCCGGGUCAAUUGCGGCUUGCAACACCCGAUCUCCCUUGUGGUGGCGGAUGGCGAUCCGCCGGCAAAGGGAGAACGCGUGACCGUCAG
rnacentral:ncRNA from 1 species